GCCAUGGGAGCGGUUUCUCCUCUCCUGCGCCACUGAAUUGAGCUGUAAUGGUCAGCGGGCGCUGGAAGAGAGGGUGCCGCAACUACUGGUGGUAGUGCACUGAAGAGCGCUGUCCCCUGUAAGCGCCGGCGAGUCACUCGAGAAGGUGGAGAUCGGGAGGCGGAGACUUAUGGAGGGCGCCGACAUCCUGCAAGGCGGAGCGGCAUCCAGAGUGACAGGCCGGGGGAGCGCUGGAGCAAUACUGAGAGGCGGCGACAUCCGUAUUGGAGGAGCGGCACCCAGAGUGACAGGCCGGGGGAGCGCUGGAGAGGUCAGGAGAGGCGGCAACAUCCGGAGAGGCAGAGCAGUAUUCAGCAGCAGCAUCAAUACAAAGAGCCGGCACGUACAGGGGGACAUCAGCUGUCAGGUCCGACCAGCGCUUAUAAGGUCAUCCCAGCCCUGCUGAGUGCCUGCCUAUCGGUGAGCUCAAGAGGGAUAAUUGCAGCCUCACUGCCCACCAAUGAGAGUGAGAAAGGGGAGUGGCUAAACUUCAAGGCUUCCAGCUAUUGACAGGAGUCAAUAGUGAAAACGUCUGAGGUACCCGAGCAUGACACUCAAAUACAAGGAAUCCAACACAGCCGGCAAUGACGUCUUCCAUAAAUUCUCUACCUACAUCAAGAACCAGUCACCAGAACAUGAUGAUCAUCUAGAAAAGAGUUUCCUGCGGUCGCUGCUAAUGCCUGACCAUUACCUGAAGACCCCGCUACCUCACAAACUGGCCAAGGACCCCAAAAUAACUGUGUCACAAAGGAAAUUCCUGGACGGAGAUAAUCUGACCCUGCCGGACUGUAAUCUCUUGCCCAAACUGUACAUCAUCAACGUAAAUUGUAUAUGCAUUGUAAUAAGGGACCAGGAGUCCAAAUUAUGGAUGUAGGGACUAGGGAGAGGUCAGUAACUGUAUAAUUGUCCUGGUUUUUGGACCUACCUAAUUUUGGUUUUUAAUGCCUUGCAUAGUUGCAUUAAAUUUAGCAUUUU